rnacentral:lncRNA from 1 species
CAGAAAACCUGUGUUUCUAAGUUGGUGAGUCUAGAAAGGUACUUCUGUUGCUUGGGGGAAGAAAAGUCCGAAAUCCCAAAGAGCCCCUUUUGGCAAGUGUUCUACUUAAGACAAACCGGGCUCUGCCCCUCCUGAGGCAGGGGGUACCCAAGGACCGGCUUUAGCCGACGUUCCUUCUGCAGAGCAUCUCGGACGACGCCGCCUCGGAGGACCCGGGGCACUUUUGAGGUGGCGACGGCGGAGCAGGGCGGGUGGCAGCGCAGGCGUGGGAGGCACAGAUGGCCCGUACGCGUCGAGUUAGGGCGCCCCCUCCUGGGACGCCUGUGCCCCGCCCAGUCCCAGGGCCCAGUCCCGGGGCAGACACUGGCUGAGCCCGGAGCCUCUUCGCAUCGCCUCCCACCCAGGCCAGGCCUGCGUUUCCCCCGGGCCCCGGCGCAGCUCCGGCCCGCGGAAGUCGCGCGUUCUUUCUUUCCCCCUGGCUUGGUAUAUAGUUGAUGUCUAGAAUAUAUUAACAGAAGGCUGCCCUGUAGAAGUUUUGAGUUAAUGGUUUCCAUCAACGUAGGAGUGGAAGAAGCUACUGGGGAUCAGGAAUCAGAAGUCCUGGCUUUAAGCCCUAGCUUUAGCCCUCACUGGCAAUAAAAUCAAAGCAAUUGGUCUCUUUGACUUCAGUUUCUCCACUUUUAAGGUUGACAUGAUAAUACUUGCCCUGCUUGUGAAGAGCGUGUGAAAUAAUAGCUAUUCAAAUUUUUACAAAGCACCAAGCCAAUAGCUGUGUGACCUUGGGCAUGUUCUUUUACUUUUCUGAUCCUUUUUCAUCUUAACUGUAAAACUGUGGGAUUGAAUGAAAGAGCAUCCAGCUUCACCUCCUGCUCUGAAACUGUACAUUUCAAAGAUGGGUGUUAUGGCAUAGUUCAAAGGAGCAAAAGCCAGGAAACAGAGGGAUGCCUUCCAAGAGGGAAUAGCUGAACACAUUAUUACAUGUCCACGCCAUGGAAUAGUAUGUAACCAAUGAACAUGGAAAAUCAGAGUAUGCCAGAUAGCUUGGAGGAGUUUCUAUGAGGUGGUGUUGAGAUGAGGAGAGAAAAGGUGUAUAAAUGAUCCCACAUUGUAAAGCAAUGAACAGCAUUCCCCCUGGGUAUGUGUAUAGGUAUAUAUUCUAUACAGAAUUACAUAAAAAAGAGAAAAGUAUACUCCAUAUUCAAGGUGUUAUGGUGGGAAGAAAUGGGGCUAGG